rnacentral:rRNA from 1 species
UACGUAGGGACCAAGCGUUGUUCGGAUUUACUGGGCGUAAAGGGCGCGUAGGCGGCAAUUCAAGUCAGUUGUGAAAUCUCCGAGCUUAACUCGGAACGGUCAACUGAUACUGCUUUGCUAGAGUACAGAAGGGGCAACCGGAAUUCUUGGUGUAGCGGUGAAAUGCGUAGAUAUCAAGAGGAACACCUGAGGUGAAGACGGGUUGCUGGGCUGAUACUGACGCUGAGGCGCGAAAGCGUGGGGAGCAAACAGG